rnacentral:rRNA from 1 species
UCGGGAAUAUUGCGCAAUGGAGGAAACUCUGACGCAGUGACGCCGCGUGCAGGAAGAAGGUUUUCGGAUUGUAAACUGCUUUAGACAGGGAAGAAAGAAAUGACGGUACCUGUAGAAUAAGCUCCGGCUAACUACGUGCCAGCAGCCGCGGUAAUACGUAGGGAGCAAGCGUUAUCCGGAUUUAUUGGGUGUAAAGGGUGCGUAGACGGGUAUACAAGUUAGUAGUGAAAUCCCUCGGCUUAACUGAGGAACUGCUACUAAAACUAUAUAUCUUGAGUACUGGAGGGGAAAGCGGAAUUCCUAGUGUAGCGGUGAAAUGCGUAGAUAUUAGGAAGAACACCGGUGGCGAAGGCGGCUUUCUGGACAGAAACUGACGUUGAGGCACGAAAGUGUGGGGAGCAAACAGGAUUAGAUACC